rnacentral:rRNA from 1 species
AGCAGCCGCGGUAAUUCCAGCUCCAAUAGCGUAUAUUAAAGUUGUUGCAGUUAAAAAGCUCGUAGUUGAAUUUCGGGAUCAAAGGAUCGGUCAUGCCUUGGUAUGUACUGGUUUUAUUGGUUCUCACCUUCUAAAGAACCAUAAUGUCAUUCAUUUGAUGUUAUGGGGAAUUAGGACUGUUACCUUGAAAAAAUUAGAGUGUUUAAAGCAGGCUUACGCUUGAAUACAUUAGCAUGGAAUAAUGAAAUAGGACAUCAGAUUCUAUUUUGUUGGUUUCUAGGAUCGAUGUAAUGAUUAAUAGGGAUAGUUGGGGGCAUUAGUAUUCAAUUGUCAGAGGUGAAAAUUCUUGGAUUUAUUGAAGACUAACUACUGCGAAAGCAUUUUGCCAAGGAUGUUUUCAUUAAUCAAGAACGAAAGUUAGGGGAUCGAAGACGAUCAGAUACCGUCGUAGUCUUAACCAUAAACUAUGCCGACUAGGGGUCGGAUGAUGUUAAUUUUUUAAUGUA